CGAGUGGCGGACGGGGGAGUAAUGCGUAGGAAUCUACCUAGUUGAGUGGGAGUAGCCUAGGGAAACUUAGGGUAAUACCGCAUAAGUCUUACGGGAGAAAGCAGGGGACGUGUUAAAGGCCUUGCGCGAUUAGAUGAGCCUACGUCGGAUUAGCUUGUUGGUGGGGUAAAGGCCUACCAAGGCGAUGAUCCGUAGCUGGUCUGAGAGGACGACCAGCCACACUGGGACUGAGACACGGCCCAG
rnacentral:rRNA from 1 species